CCGCUUUUCCUUCACUCUCCCAAUUCAUUGUCCUUACUCCUCAAACUACUUCCCCCCUCACCUAUCUCCCUCGACUGCCACCACCAGCCCAUCGCCGUCGUUUACACCGAACACGUUAAAAUCCAAGUGAAAUUAGAAAAGCACAUUCAUAAUCGGUUGUGUGAUUCACUAAGGCAGCAAGAUCAUAUUUUAGCGACUAUCGGUAGAAAUUACAGCCAAAACUCGAUGUGCUUGACGGAGAUGAAGCGUGAAAAUCAGCUGCUGAUAUUGUAUGCUUCACAGACAGGAAAUGCAAUGGAUGCUGCUGAGCGGUUUGGCCGCGAAGCUGAGCGUCGUGGUUGCCCUUCCAUCUCUGUCCUCUCCAUGGACGAGUUUCAUCCCAGCGAAUUGCCGAACAAGGAAGCCGUCAUUUUGGUGGUGUCGACCGCAGGUCAGGGGGAAAAUCCAGAUUCGAUGAAGGGGUUUUGGAGAUUCUUAUUGCAAAAGAAUUUGACAGAAGAUUGGCUUAAAGGGGUUAAUUAUGCUGUGUUUGGACUGGGCGAUUCAAGCUACCAAAAGUAUAAUUUUGUAGCAAAGAAACUGGACAAACGGCUUUCAAGUCUUGGUGCAUCACCGAUUAUUGAAAGAGGCCUGGGAGAUGAUCAGCAUCCUUCAGGGUAUGAAGGGGCUCUAGAUCCAUGGAUGUCCUCCUUGUGGAGUAUAUUGUAUCAAAGAAAUCCUAGGUUGCUUCCAAAUGCUAUAAAUCCUGACGAUACUUUGAUGGAUCAACCUAAAGUGCAAGUUAUAUAUCAUGACACUGAAGAAGGGCUAUCACCUAUGACAACCAAUGCAGAUUUUAACUAUCUGGAGAUGCAACUUGAGAAAGCCCACUCAAUGAAUCCUGCGAAAUAUUCUGGAAAAAGCAGGCCUGAUUGCUUCCUCAAACUGACCAAGAAUUAUCAAUUAAGUCGGGUGGAAAGCGGGAAGGAUGUACGUCACUUUGAGUUUGAAGCUGUUUCAUGUCCUAUCAAUUACGAUGUAGGCGACAUUCUUGAGGUUCUUCCAGGUCAAAGUCCUGAAGCACUCGAUGCCUUUAUGCAACGGUGUAAUUUGAACCCUGAAUCAUACAUAACUGUUCAAGCUAGAGAUAAUGAGAACCGUGGUUUUCAGAAACCUUCUACCCCUGUGAAGGUGAAAUCCUUCAUUGAGUUGGCAAUGGAUGUUGCAUCAGCUUCCCCUAGGCGAUAUUUUUUUGAGGUCAUGAGUUUCUUUGCCACUGCUGAGCAUGAAAAGGAAAGGCUUCAAUAUUUCGCCUCACCUGAAGGAAGAGAUGAUUUAUACCAGUACAAUCAGAAGGAACGGAGAACUGUCCUUGAGGUGCUGGAGGAUUUUCCUUCUGUGCAGAUGCCCUUUGAAUGGUUGGUACAGCUGGUUCCUCCACUAAAAACAAGGGCCUUUUCCAUCUCUUCAUCUAAUUCAGCCCAUCCAAAUCAGGUCCAUUUAACUAUAAGCGUAGUGUCAUGGACAACACCUUACAAGAGGAAACGCACGGGUCUUUGCUCAUCAUGGCUUGCGGGUCUUGAUCCCAAUCAGAGAGUCCUUAUACCAGCAUGGAUUAGCAAAGGCUGUCUUCCUCCGCCACCACCAUCACUUCCUCUGAUUCUUGUUGGACCUGGAACUGGAUGCGCACCUUUCCAUGGGUUUGUGGAGGAACGUGCAAUUCAGAGUAAAACUGUUACAACUGCUCCUGUUGUCUUCUUCUUUGGGUGUAGAAACGAGAAGGAUGAUUUCCUGUACAGGGAUUUUUGGCUGUCACAUUUGCAGAAGAAUGGAGUGCUUUCUGAAGAGAAAGGUGGAGGAUUCUAUGUUGCCUUUUCGAGGGAACAGCCGCAUAAAGUGUAUGUACAACACAAAAUGAGGGAGCAAAGGAGUAAAAUAUGGAGUUUGCUAAGUCAGGGCGCUGCUGUUUAUGUUGCUGGAUCUGCAAAUAAAAUGCCUGCUGAUGUAAUGUCAGCAUUGGAGGAAAUUGUUUCGAAUGAAACCGGGGUUCCAAGAGAAGCUGCAUCGACAUGGAUUAGGACACUGGAAAGGGCUGGCAAGUAUCACGUCGAGGCUUGGUCUUGACCUUCUUAUUAAAACUUCCAUUGCAAUGUUUACAAGCAUGAAGGUGCACGCCUUUUCGCAAUAUUUAUGGCCAUCAUCAUCUGAGUCGAAUGCAUCUCCAGCUGCAACAGCGCCAUCUGAGUCGAUUGCAUCUCCAGCUGCUGGUGCUACCUCAUGAUUUUGUCUGGUCUCCAUGCUCGCUCUCUCUGUCGAUAAUCCCUCUACCAACUGCAAUGAAAUUAUCCUCUUAAAACCAUGCACUUGCUUAAUUAUCAUCUCAAACUCUCAGACUAACUUACCUUAGGAUAAACUCUGCAGCCAUUUCUUAAUUCCACAGCACUGUAUGCAAAGUCUUUGCCAUAUUUGGAAGUGAAGAUGCGGCGAAUCUCUUGCAGCUCUGGGAACUCUCCAGUUCUCGAAGCAGCAAAGAUCAAGCUCGAUACCGCCUCCUUCACCUCAUCAGGACACUCCCUACAUCACACAGUCAGACCUCCUGUUAACACUUCCUCUGGUUUAACAAAGGAGAAAAAAAAAAAAAAACUAUGAUCGCACUAUUUUUACACCUGCUGUUUGUGAUAAUCUCAGUGCUCUCCUUCAAUAUAUGGCAGCACAUCUCUAUCAUAACCAGUGCAUCCAGUGAAUUUUGCUCCUUGAUCACUUGCUCAACCUAUUAACAGAAAUUAAACUCACAUCAACUACACACACUCAACUCGAUUGUGGGAUGAUAAAAUAUUCAGCAUGUGAGACCAACUUACUCGAACGAGAGCAUGGUGUUGAUGAGGUUGUUGGUGCAGCAGCUGAAUCACAUCGGAUCUUGCUUGGCUGCAUCUCACGCCAUGAAGGUUUCUGAGAAUUGCGAUUCUAGAGACUGCGAGAUUUGCCACUGUCCUUAGCUUCUUCGAGGCGCUGGAGCUUCUUCCCAGCAGAGCAUUCAACCGCUUUCCCAUUCUGCUCAACUUGUUGAUCUCUUACAACCUUUAAUAUAGUUUGGUGGUUUGAUUUGAUAUGUUUGGCAGUUAUAUAUAGUUUGAGGAGUUGAACGAAAGAUUCAAACUGCAUGUGCGCAAAUACGUAUGUGCGCUGAAGAUUUCUCCACUUUUAUUUUAGAUUUUCAUAAACUUUGACUCCGGUA